rnacentral:rRNA from 1 species
UACGAAGGGGACUAGCGUUGUUCGGAAUCACUGGGCGUAAAGCGCACGUAGGCGGAUGUGUCAGUCAGGGGUGAAAUCCUGGAGCUCAACUCCAGAACUGCCUUUGAUACUGAAGAUCUUGAGUGCGGGAGAGGUGAGUGGAACUGCGAGUGUAGAGGUGAAAUUCGUAGAUAUUCGCAAGAACACCAGUGGCGAAGGCGGCUCACUGGCCCGAUACUGACGCUGAGGCACGAAAGCGUGGGGAGCAAACAGG